AAGUCGUAACAAGGUUUCCGUAGGUGAACCUGCGGAAGGAUCAUUAACACGUUCCAAUACGUUAUCAACCAUUAGUGCAUUUGUUUUCAUUCGUACAUGUAUACACUCGACAUAGCAGUCAAAAAACGGCUGUUGUGGAGCAAUUUCACUUGUGAGCAUUGCAUCGUGUGCAUACAUACCAUUCCCCUUUUUUUAAACUUUAAUCACCUGUAUUAUUGCUAGUUGACAUUUUUCUAUAUGUAUGGUGUAUAUAUAAUGUAUAUGCCCACAUGUAUGUAUGUAUCUAAAUGAUAUACUAAUCACAACUCUUAGCAAUGGAUAUCUAGGUUCUC
rnacentral:misc_RNA from 1 species